UCUAAUCUCUCUCUCUGUUGGAAAAUAAAAGACGAAAAAACAAAAUAAAAAAGGUCUCCAAUCAAAAAACACUACCUCUCUUCUCUCUCUAGCUCACUUACCUCACUCCUCCAUAAUUCUCUCUCUGCUGAAAAAAGCGAAAAGAAAAAGAAAAAGAAAAGAGAUGGCGCUACUCACCUCCUUCAACAUCCUAUCAGGCUCUCUCCUUUUCCACUUUUCCUCAC
rnacentral:lncRNA from 1 species